rnacentral:lncRNA from 1 species
GAUAGGUUCAAAAAGGAAAGGAAAAGGUAACAAUUUUUUUUAAUUGAAAGAUUUCAGUAGUGUGACAACUUGUCAGAAAAUAUAAGAUAUAAUCUAGGAUAUGAAUCAAUUUUUUUUAUUAUUUUUUUCAACUUUAAUUUUUUUACGAAAUUUCAAUUCGUAUUUUUUUCAACUUUUUUUUCACUAUUUUGAAACUUCUAAUACGAUACUUGGAUUACAUUUUCGUAGCUCUGAUACUAAAUGAUGCAUUCUC